AUCAUUAACGAGUUUUGAAACGGGUUGUAGCUGGCCUUCCGAGGCAUGUGCACGCCCUGCUCAUCCACUCUACACCUGUGCACUUACUGUAGGUUGGUGUGGGYUUCUGACCUCYGGGUUAGGAGCGUUCUGCCGGCCUAUGUACACUACAAACUCUUAAAGUAUCAGAAUGUAAACGCGUCUAACGCAUCUUAAUACAACUUUCAGCAACGGAUCUCUUGGCUCUCGCAUCGAUGAAGAACGCAGCGAAAUGCGAUAAGUAAUGUGAAUUGCAGAAUUCAGUGAAUCAUCGAAUCUUUGAACGCACCUUGCGCUCCUUGGUAUUCCGAGGAGCAUGCCUGUUUGAGUGUCAUGGAAUUCUCAACUCAUAAAUYUUUGUUGGUUUAUGGGCUUGGAUUUGGAGGCUUGCUGGCCCUUAGUCGGUCAGCUCCUCUUGAAUGCAUUAGCUUGAUUCCGUGCGGAUCGGCUCUCAGUGUGAUAAUUAUCUACGCUGUGACCGUGAAGYGUUUGGCGAGCUUCUAACCGUCCAUUAGGACAGCUUUCUGACAUCUGACCUCAAAUCAGGUAGGACUACCCGCUGAACUUAAGCAUAUCAAU
rnacentral:rRNA from 1 species